rnacentral:rRNA from 1 species
UACGGAGGGGGCUAGCGUUAUUCGGAAUUAUUGGGCGUAAAGGGCGCGUAGGCGGCUUUGCAAGUGACGGGUGAAAUCCCUCGGCUUAACCGAGGAACUGCCUGUCAGACUGCAUGGCUCGAGACCAGGAGAGGUGAGUGGAAUUCCCAGUGUAGCGGUGAAAUGCGUAGAUAUUGGGAGGAACACCAGUGGCGAAGGCGGCUCACUGGACUGGUACUGACGCUGAUGCGCGAAAGCGUGGGGAGCAAACAGG